GGGGCCGAUCCGGAUUCGACGUGGGUCGCGAAACAACUCAGGGCAUGCCGAGCACCAGUUCGCUCGUUAAACCACUGGAAACACUACAAACGCCAACGACGAGCGUUUCGCUCUCGCCGCUUAAGCGGUGAGCCGCUGCACUGAUCUGUCCUUGGGUCAGGUGGAGGAAGGCAACUUCCUAGGGGGGUAACCCUCGAACCACAGCAGCGACAUUCACAAGGAAUCGGUCUGCGCUGGGGUCACACGGCUCAGAUUUAAAUUACGUGAAUCGCUUUGGUCCGGCCUGUCGGUUGGCUAAGUCCAAAGUUAAAACUAAAUAAAUCGACUACGCAUGUAGAACUGAUUGCAGAGGGCUUGCGGACGGGGGUUCAAUUCCCCCCGGCUCCACCA
rfam:Achromobacter piechaudii HLE Contig_16, whole genome shotgun sequence.